AAAUACUUCCACUGGAUAACAGAAGAUUUACAGUCUUGGUCAUCAGAAGGAAUGCCACACUAAUGAAAUCAAGGAUCCUUAAGGACAAGAGAAAGUGGGGUCCAAGAUCUACAGCUAAUGGAAAAAGGCAAGGGAACCAAGCUGGAAUGCCAUGUGGACAAAGGAAAACAAAUGAAGAUGUCCCUGAAUGAUAUACAAAUGGGGAACAGAUAAUAUGGAGCAAUAGUUUGACAGACUGUGGUUGCCAUACUGGGGGGGGGGGGAAAGGGUUAAACCUCAAAGUGAAUAUCUUAGCCAUACCACAGAGGAUGUUGAAGAGUAAGAUUAGAAGUAAUGCAGCAG
rnacentral:lncRNA from 1 species